GGGCCCGCACAAGCGGUGGAGCAUGUGGUUUAAUUCGAUGAUACGCGAGGAACCUUACCAGGGCUUAAAUGUAGUGGGACAGGUCUAGAGAUAGACCCUUCUUCGGACUCAUUACAAGGUGCUGCAUGGUUGUCGUCAGCUCGUGCCGUGAGGUGUCAGGUUAAGUCCUAUAACGAGCGCAACCCCUAUCGUUAGUUGCCAGCGAGUAAUGUCGGGAACUCUAACGAAACUGCCAGUGCAAACCGUGAGGAAGGUGGGGGAUGACGUCAAAUCAUCACGGCCCUUACGUCCUGGGCCACACACGUGCUACAAUGGCCGGUACAGAGAGCAGCCACUACGCGAGUAG
rnacentral:rRNA from 1 species